CUGGGUCCUGUGCGAUCCUUCGGCGUGAACCCUGUCAGGUCCUGACGGAAGCAGCAGUAAGCGUUUGCUGGAUGUGCUGCGGGUUUGCC
rnacentral:SRP_RNA from 1 species